rnacentral:lncRNA from 1 species
UUGGACAAUUGUUUGAUUUAUAUGAUUUGAUUGCUUCCAUAAUUAUUGGCCAUAUGUUAUGUGAGUUUAGAUGAUUUAUUCUUUGCAUUCGAAAGAAGGGGAAUAGAUUCGAUAUAAUAUAAAUUAACAUAGGGUUCGAUAGGGGAUAGAAAUAUACCCCUAUGCUUUGUGCAAUUCAUAAGGUGUUCAUAAAAAUUCAUGCAUUCUUGUAUAUUUGCAUCAUCCAUAGAAAUAUAGGCUGGUGGUGUGCAAGAGUAGAUUCAGUAUAUAUCGAGAGAGUAUAUUGGAUAGGUUUAGGAACAUUGAAUUGGCAUUUUUCCAUCGAUUCGUUGAAUUUGUGAAAUUAGGGUUUUUAAUAGUCAAUUGGGGAUUCGAGAUCCUAAUGAUUGCAUUUCAAUUUAUUUCUAUACAUUAACUUCCAAAA